GGUUCCAUGAUGAUGUUUUUGCCUUCUCUCUGGAGAAGAGUUGUCUUAAAAGUCAUGCUCUAUAGAGUUACGCUGAGGACC
rnacentral:snoRNA from 1 species